CCCUGAAAUACUGUGCUUGAUCACUUUCUAUAAUCCGCUGUAACGUGCUCCUAAACAUACAGACCUCUUAGUGUAUUUAAAAUGAUUCAGUUUACUAAAGCAUAAUAAAAAACUUCUUGAGAAUCCACAGUUAAGAUGGCAGGUGUCCUCAUCUGUAUGUGCUGCACCAACAACAUUCUUGGAAGGGAGCGGUCCUACCAAACGACGACAGUCCUGAAAUAGAUGUGGAAUCCACUGAUGCAGCACACAGGGGAAUGCCACCGGAAGCUCUGAUCAAAGGGGACUGUGAGCUCCAGAAUUCCUGAUUGCGUUCAUCACAGAUGCCAAGUCUGUCAAAUUCUAAAGCAGGAAGUCAAUGGAUCAACCAGAAGGUGGCCCAGAAGAAAGCCUUCACCAGAACGUGAGCAUGCUGGCACCCUGAUCUCAGACCUCCAGUCUCGAGAACAGUAAGAAAAUAAGUUUCUG